GUGACAGCAAUUUCGACGGAAGACGGAGAAAUAAGAAUGGCUGUUGUUCGCGCCAGAUUUGUAUCCAUUGUGCCGCAUCAAUUUGUACCACCCGACACUUGUAAAAUACGCACUCAGUUUGCUCUGACGCGUGCACUACAGCUUGUCCUUCCUCGUCUGAAAUUUCAGUGGUCAACGAAGAGCAGAGGAAGAUGUUGACGAUGAGCAUGACGAGCAGCAGUAUGGCCAGGCAGAUGCAGAGGCCGAUAAGCCACGGGAAACGCCACUCCUGUGCACUCGCGCAGGGGCGCCGACACUGCAGAAAGUAAGAGAGAAAAAAAGAUCGCGAGGAACUUUGCGGAAGAUUGAAAGCAGCAACUCGGCAACGGCGUCCACCUUCGGCGCGGGCAAGAAAACCUGCAGCUGAGGCGGAGCAAGCCAUCGGUCCAAACGCGUUGACGGAUCCUGGCCGUCUAGCAACAGCGAAAACGAUGAGCACAAGGAAGAUCUACACUUCAAGCGAAGUCCCGUGACGACAUGGGAACUUUGGUGUGACUGACAGUGGUGAUUCUGCAACUGGCUAGGCAUGGCAGCGGCGAUCAGCGGCAUCUCGGCAAGUGGUGAGUCCUCUCAUUCUUACUCCUCAGGGGUACCGCUGCCUAGUUGUACCGUAAUGUAUUAAUACGAGGUUUGCUCACUUGAACCCUGACAGGAGAAAUCAACCCAUGAUGGGGGGAGUCGGGAGACGAGAAUGUCUAGGACAACUCAGCUGGGGCUGUCGCAUCGGAGAGUCAGAGGGAAACGGACCUCAGAAACCUCGUGGACCAGCGACUGACUCGCUUGACUUGACGAGGUGGAUCGUGCGAGACUUAGGCAAUACGGAAGCGAGAGCUCAUGGGAAAGUUUGGUAUGCAGGAUCUCUGAGGUGAGCUGAGACGCUAUUCUAAGUGGCUCGCUGGAGUGCUUCCCAAAUUUCCAUCAGAGGCUGAGGCUCAGUGUGGUUUGAGUCGGUUGAGAGCGCCCUAAAGGCAUAUGAAGUUCCGCAGGGUAUUGGGGACAGAUUUUUUUCCUGUUUGUGGUGGAGAAGGUCCCAUUUCUGUCCACACGACUUAGCCCCGGCGGAACACAAGAGUAUCCUGAAAAUCAAGGAAACAGUACUUGGGGACGAGCCAAAGCUUCUUGCAGGAGAAUACCUGAAAAGGUUCUUGGGGUCAGAAAAGCGUAUGAACGAAGGAUGGAGGCCUUAUGCAACUCGCCUUCAAAGCUAUCUGCACUUUUACCUUGACUCGAGAGGUGUGUCGACGUUUGAGGAGCUGGUCAAACUAUUGGUUGUAGACCAAUUGAAGAAAAAACCUCUCAGAUGACGCGCUUUGGCAUGUCACACUGCAGGAAGGGAAAACAUGGCUAAACGUACCAGACCUAGCUGCGUUAUUGCGGACAUUCCAGGAGGCGCAAGGCAAGAACAGCACAGGCAAGCAGGUGAAAUAGAAGCAGGUAGAGUCGCAAAGCCGUAGUAGCAUCAAGCCAGGUGUACAGCCAAGUGAUCGCGGCAGCAGGAAAGCUCGAGACGCUGAGACAAAACAAAAGUUUAGAGGCUGCUUCUCGUGUAGCUCUAGUGGGCUUACGAAGUGGAAUUGCCCCCAGGGCCUGGUGCAGAAAAUAUUGAAAGUUCCGGGUACUGAGAGCGACAGGCUUGUUGGCGCACGUUUCGAUAGGAGAGGCAGUAGCUGCGCACAGCACCUCAUUCCGGUGUUCCUCGAGUGUAAGGAUAGGCAUAUUAAUGCAGUUCUGGACACGGGAGCGGAGAUUACAGUGUUGCGUGAGAGUUGUGCUGCCUGAGGUCGUGCAGGCGCACAGAAUGAUCAGCCUAACUUUUGCCUUGGGAGAAAGGGUGAAGGGGAAACUCACCGUGGUUCCGCUGACAAUGUCCCGCAAAUAUGGCAUUUUCGAAAAUGUAAAGGAGGCGGUGCCAGUGCUGUGUGCAUUAACAGACAAGCUGACAUCAUGUACUGAUUGCCUCCUGUCAGAGGAAGCAUGGCAAUUGCUUAAGGACGAGGGUGUUUUCGGAGGGGUAGUGAAAAUCAGAGGGCAAGAGGCAGACGGCAUAUAGCCAGAACCCGAAAGUGGUCCAUCGGACACAGGAGCUGCGCGGCACCUAGAAUUAGAAAGUGGUCCACCAGACACUGAAAGGAUAGGCAUGACAGAGGAGGCCAGGGGAUAGGAAAAAGCAGGAAUAGUGAGGACCAUCAAACUAGCAGCACAUUCGCUGAUGAAUCACCAGCUGUGAGGGUAAACGAGAAGUGUGCAUCAUACAUUUGCCACGAGAAACUAGUGCCGUGCCUUCCUGGGAAAUGCAGCGUGGACGCACAGACAGCCGUUGCUGCUUCGCUUGCAGAGGGCCAGCGGCGAUGGUUGGUUGUGGCUGAGUUGGCGACAGACGGUGAGGGGGUUAAUCCCGAAGUGUCGCUAACUGGCCCGCCCGCUUGACCAGAAAUCCUGUCAGGAGAUCAUGGAGGGAGAGCCAGGUGAAUCUAGUGUCUCCAAAUUCGAGGCUGAUAGGAUGUAUUGACAGAGAGUACAGUGGCGCUGCGAUUGCGAUGGAAGCAUGCACUGGGGCUGCAGAGAA